rnacentral:rRNA from 1 species
UACGUAGGGGGCUAGCGUUGUCCGGAAUCAUUGGGCGUAAAGAGCGUGUAGGCGGUCCGGUAAGUCCGUUGUGAAAGUCAGGGGCUCAACCCUUGAAUGCCGGCGGAUACUGUCGGGCUAGAGUCCGGAAGAGGCAAGUGGAAUUCCUGGUGUAGCGGUGAAAUGCGCAGAUAUCAGGAGGAACACCAAUUGCGAAGGCAGCUCGCUGGGACGUUACUGACGCUGAGACGCGAAAGCGUGGGGAGCAAACAGG